CUCAGCUCACUGCCAGCUCCGCCUCCCGGGUUCAUGCCAUUCUCCUGCCUCAGCCUCCCAAGUAGCUGGGACUACAGGUGCCCACCAACACACCUGACUAAUUUUUUGUAUUUUUAGUACAGACGGGGUUUCACCGUGUUAGCCAGGAUGGUCUUGAUCUCCUGACCUCGUGAUCCACCCGCCUCAGCCUCCCAAAGUGUUGGGAUUACAGGUGUGAGCCACCGCACCCGGCUACCUGUCUCCUCAUUCUUAAAAGGACCUCUUUUAAAGGCACAUUGCUUGGUACAUGGAAAGUUACAUUCCCAUACACAACACCAUAUAUUUGUUGGGAAAAACAGCUGAUGAAACCUAGGAGAGAAAAAAAAAUUGGUUAGAAAAAACAACAUGACUUUGGUGGCAGAAAUUAUUCAUCAGGUACUUUUUGUGCUAAGCUGACAAACUGCUGACACAAAAUACAGGAAGUAAGAACAUGUUUGACCAUGUGGAGCUUACUCUUUAAUAGAAAACUGGGACCUGCAUAAAUCCAAGAAAUGGACCCGACAUUCAUGGAGCACCAACCAUCUGCCAGCAAGACCAACCCCUCCUCCCACUUAGCCUGCUUUAACGUGAAGAUAAUGAGGAUGAAGACCUUUGAUGAUCCACUUUCACUUACAUCUUCACCAGGAGUAUAGAUGCCAUCUGAAGAAACCACUUUCUUUGCUCAUCCAUAAGAAGCAACUCCUCAUUGGCUCAAUUUUCAUCAUGAGAUUGUGGCAACUGAGUGACAUAUUCAGGCUCCACUUCUAUUUUUCUUGCUAUUUCCACCCUUCAAAGUCAUCCAUGAGGAUCGGAAUCAAAUUCUUCCAAACUCCUGUUAAUAUUGAUAUUUUGACCUGACGAUUGGAAUCAAAUUCUUCCAAACUCCUGUUAAUGUUGAUAUUUUGAUCUUCUCCCAUGAACCACAAAUAUUCUUAAUGACAUCUAGAAUGCUGAAUCCUUUCAGAAGGUUGUCAAUUUACUUUGCCCAGAUUCAUCAGAAGAAUAAUUAUCUAUGGCAGCUAUAGCCUUACCAAGUGUAUUCCUACAUAAUAAGACUUCAAAGGCAAAAUUACUCCUUGAUCCAUGGGCUGCAGAAUGGAUGUUGUAUUAGCAAGCAUGAAAACAACACUCAUCUCCUUGUACAUCUCCAUCAGAGCUCUUGGGUGAUUAGGUGCAUUGUCAACAAGCAAUAAUAUACUGAAAUGAAUCUUUUUUUUCUAAGCAAAGUUGCUGCAUUGUUUACAAAAAAGACUUUGGCAAUUUACAUCUCCAUCAGUAAUGCCUGAGUUGCCCUUUCCUUGGACUCCUGACAGCAUUAGGUGAGGAAACUGAGGCACAACAAUGUUAAGUAAUGAAGCCAGAUUUGAACCUGGACAAUCUGACUGCAGAAUCAGUGCUCUUAACCAUUGUUUCUUAUUUAGCUUGCUACAUGGCAUAAGGCUCUUAAAGAUAGUGACAUGAUGCAGGGUUUCUCAGGAUACAAUCUAUAGACAGCAUUGGAACAGCAGAUGUUGCAAAUGAGAAAGUCAAACUGAGUUAAGCACACCUCCAAACCUACAGGUGAGGCACUAAGCUCUGUGGUUUCCAAAUCAUCGAAUGCUAGAGCUGAAGAGGGCCUCAGAGAGCAAGACUCCAGUCAAGGAAGAAAAAGCCAGACCAGAAACAAUAAAAAGAAAACGAGCAAACAAAGGAGUCACAAAGAAACAGAACUGUGGCAAAUGACGCAUUAGACGAAGACCAGCAAUUCCACCCACAGAGGAGAUACCAGCGGGCCAAGUGUGAGUCAGAAGGGACUGGUGAGGACUUGCGCACCAGUGAGCCUACAGGGAGGGGCCUGCCAUGUGGAAACAGGAGCUGUGCCUCAGCUCCUGCCAUGUGGAAACAGAGGCCCACCAUUGCCAGGUUCCCAAUUUUUCAAAAAAAGCCAGAUAUUCACAUUUUGUGUGAAAAUUCCUGUUCUUGAAAGUUGGCAACUAAUUCAAAUCUGAGCUUAGGGGUAACCCCAGCCAGGCUAGCCCUAUCAGGACAAGGACAAAGGUGUUCCUGUUUUUGGCUGUAUCCCCAUAUGUCUGGCAUAUGGACUUUCAAUAAAUAUCUGUUGAAUGAAUUAACUAAAAUGAUUAAAAUACAACUUAAAUGUAGUUCAAAAGAUAAGGCUUCCUGACAGAAUAGCAAAAUUUGACAGUCACCCCAAACCCUGGGCUUUGUGAAAUCCCAAAUUGCUGUGGAACCUGGCUGAAGAAGGAGGACUUCGUAAGGAGAGAUGGAGAAAGAAGUUUAACUGGAGCUUAAAAAUAAAAUGGCUCAGGAGCCCUCAUAUACAACCAAAACAGACUCAGUUUUUCAGCCCCACUUUCUGCCUCAUCACCAAAGCAAGAUGGGAGGACCUGCGGGCUCCACCUUCCCAACUCCACAGCUGUCCCUUUUGAGAUGUUCCCUCUCAAGUUUAAGUAGAUUUUACCAACUAAGUGUUAUAGGAUGCAGGGCACCACACCAGAUAAACUUGUACCCACUCAUGGAUGUCAGCCCCAAUCAAACUUAACAGCCUCGCUAUGGUUUGAGGAGGUUCACUGAUGUCAUUUCUUUCUUUUCUUUCUUUUUAUUUUUCUCUUUCUUUCCCUCUCUCUCUCCCUCCUUCCCUCCCCUUCCUUCCUUCCUUCCUUUUUCUUUUUGGAGACAGGGUCUCAUUCUGUCACCCAGGUUGGUGUGCAGUGGUGCAAUCGUGGCUCACUGUAGCUUCAACCUCCUGGGCUCAAGUGAUCCUUCUGCCUCAGCCUCCCAAGUAGCUAGAACUACAGUUGCAUGCCACCACGCCCAGCUAAUUUUUAUAUUUUUUGUAGAAACAAGGUCUCACUAUGUUGCUCAGGCUGAUCUCAAACUCGUGGGCUCAAGUGAUCCUCCUCCCUGGGCCUUCUGAAGUGCUGAGAUUACAAGCAUGAGCCACCAUGCCCAGCCAAUGCCAUACCUUAGAGACAAGCUAAUCACUCUUCCGGGAUUUGAAGGAAAGGGUUUUCUUGAGUUUGUUCUUAGAAAUAAACAAUGUAAUUUUAAGAUACUUCUCUCUCUCUCUCUAAAAUAUUUUAAGGCUCACACUGCCUGCAGAUUUUAGCAGGUAAAGUAAAAGUUCAUUUGACCAAAAAAAAAAAAAAAAGAAAGAAAAAAGAAAAAUUCCCUUAAAAGUUUCAGUACCUGAAUAUAUGAAUAUUGGUAUUUCCCUCUGAAUAUAAGACAUCAUAAUGGUGAUUCAUUUAAAGCCUCGUGCAAGCCCAGAGAUAGCAGGGUCUUGGGGCAUUUUUGCUCCCAAGUGAGCAGAUGGAUUUCUCAUCUGGAUAUGGGUCACUGAGCACAGCCUUGUCCCUCUCACUUCUCUGCGUUUGGUCUUCACAUCACGGCACAUUUUCAGUUGAUGCCUACUUGCAGUAUCAGGAUGUGUGGCAAUCUGGGAAGCAACAUCUCUAUCUACACACCCAUAUAUGCAUUUAUAGUAUUGAGGAGCGGCCAAUCUCCUAAAAUGUCUAGGCUAGUAAUUGUAUCAAAUAACCUGUCCUAUUAAGGCCAUAAAUAUUCUCAUAUUAGUCAGUCCCAAUUUUGGGGGUAGAAAAUGUGCUUACCAGGCAUGGAGAUAAUAAAGAGGAGUAGCACUGUUUGUUUUAACUCAAUCAAGUUUCAUACAGUUGUGACUCUUGCCUAGCUCUUAGCAAGUCCAAUCCAAGGAGCCCUAGGCCAGCUCAGCCUCAGUAAUAAUAUUUAACAGUAGCAGCAGCACGAAGAUUCACUGCAGGCUUACUAUGUGACAAGCACUUGUUCCAAGAGCUGUUUGUGUAUUAACUCAUUUAAUCCUCAACUCAACUCUGAGGUAGUUCUUAUUAUUCAUUUAUUUGUUCAUCAAAUGUUCAUGGAGUCCUGCCUAUGUGCCAGACACUGAAAUAAGCAGGCAGGAUAUAGCAAUGAACAAAACAGACAAAAUCCCAGCCCUCUUGGAGUCUAUUUUUCAGUGGAGGGAAGAACAUAAUAAAUGAAAAAGUAAAUAUCUUUUAUUUGGAUGAUGUUGGAUGAUGUUAAGUGCUAUAGAGAAAAAUAAAGCAGAGUGUGGGGGCUGAGGAGUACUGGUAAGGAAAGGAGUUGGAUGGCAUGGGGGGCAGUCAUAAGUUGGCAUCUGAGCAGAGUCCAGAAAAGCAGGGGAGCGAGCCUAAGAACAUCUGGGGUGAGAGUGAGAAAGGAGUUAUUUCUUGAGAACACGCCUAUCAAAGUAAGGUGGUUUGCUCCGCUGGACACUUGGUUGAUAGAGAAGGUCAAAGAUUCCGAAGCACCAGGCUACAGAUGAAGAAAUGGACUGAGAGGGUCAGCUGACUGCAUUCACUCAGCUAGCAAGGGGCAGAGCUGGUGUCCAGACACAGGCAGUCGGCCCCAGAGCCUGCACUGUUGGCCAGAACAUCAGAUGCCUUGGUUGGGGCCAUUCCUCUUUUUUCCUGAUCGAUUCCACCCUUAGCCGGUCCCAGUUAGUGACUUCUCUUAUUUCCUUAAGACAGAGAUUUACUGAUUUCAGCCACACCACCACCAGUUUCCCUGCCCUCAUCUACUUCAUACUGAAACUGCAGCCACCUGUCUCCCAACGGUUACAAACCCUCGGUCCCCAAGGCCAGAGCAAGGUUCCCGGACCUUGCUCUCAGCUGUCAAUCUGCCUCCUCGAUAAGUUCAUCAAGAAUUAAGAUGUUGGUUCUCUAAAUCAACUUCUUUCUGUACUUUCCUUCUAAUAUGAUGCUAAAAUAGUUUCCUUUUUAAUUCUUGUUCUUGCACUUAACCUAUUUCUUCUUUCUCAAGAUGUUUCCCUUUAGACCUAUGCAAUCCAUCAAAGUAGCUACCAGCUACAAGUGGCUAGUGAGAACCUGAAAUAUGGUUAGUUCAAAUGGAGAUGUGUUCUGAGUAUCAAAUACACACCAGAAUCUGAAGACCUGGUAUUAAAAAGUGGAACAUAAAAUCUCUUGUUAAUAUUUUUUUGUAGUAACUACUAGGUUAGUGCAAAAGUAAUUGCCGGUUUUUGCCAUUAAAAAAAAAUAGCAAAAACCACAAUAACUUUUGCACCAACCUAAUACAUGUCGAAAUGAAAAUAUUAUGGAUAUAUUAGGUUAACUAAAAUAUAUUAUUAAAAUUAAUUUCACAUGUUCCAUAUUAUACUUCUAUUUGAGAGCACUUCUUUAGCCUGUUGUUUCAAGACACUCACAUCCCACCUUUCUCAAAGGCCACAUUUGUCUUUGACUGUUCUCACCUUAGAUAGGAUACAGCUGAGAUCCACAGUAUGCUUUAGGGAAUAAGGUUCUUACUAGAUCGGUUAAGGCUGUGAGUGUUUUUAAAUCUAUUCUCCAAAGUCUGAUUCAAGGUAUUUCAAUACAGUACUGAUCAUUUCACUAAAAUUCCUUGAGAAUCCUUGUUAUUUUCUAGAUACUCAGUUCAUCGUUGGGAAACUCUAUUGCAAGUAGUUUACAAUGGCACAGCCUCAUUAGUUUCUUAUUAAUCUGAUUUUUUAUUUUUUUCUGAAUGUGUAUGUUAAACUUCAAUUUUCUUCUAAUUUUUAACUGGCAUAGGAAGAAAAUGUUCAAGAAACUACAGACUGGUCAGCCCAGUGGAAAUUCAGGCACUAAUCUCAACAGACAUUUUGGGGAACAUUGUAAAGUAAGCAAAGUUCACUAGAACCUAUAAAGUAACCAAAAAGCAUUUUCCUUGGAGGCUGAUGGGCAGGCACUGAAAGUUAUCUCCAAAGAGGAACUGCUAAAAUGUUUUCCCCUCCUUUUCUAGGGACAGUCUCUGUAUCUUAUAGUCACACUUUAUAUUCAAACCUGAACUUAUCUGAGAAAAGAGAAACGGCUGCAUCCUGGUUUCACUUACAACCCUGAGAUGGAAGUUGAGAUUUGUCAUUGCAGAAUUUAAGGGUCUGUGUCCUUAAGUAAAACCUUCUGGUCACCCCUCAAGUAAAGCUUCAAAAAAGCUUAGGCACUUGUGCAGAAACAGCAUGAGAAGAAACCAAAAGGCAGAAAACUUACACAUAUAAGGGCUGAUUUAUGCAAAGUUUCUACUUUUAAACAGAGAAACCAAUACCUACCCUCAAAGCCUGUAUUUACUAAAGAAAUGUUAGAGUGACAAGGAGGUCAAUAAAAUAAAUUAUUCAAAUCUGGUUCUUAAAAAGAGGUUCUAAGACUAUUUUAAAACUUCUGAAAGAUGCCCAUCAAAAUUAAAACAAAAAAACAUAGCAACGAAUACAAUGAGUGAAACUUGAUUAGAUCCGGGUUUUUUAACAAAAGACACUCUUGUGACAAGUGGGGAAAUCUGAAUACGGGUAAAAGUUAGGUGAUGUUACAGGAUUAGUGUUAAUAUUUAUAGAUGUUAUGAUGUUAUUGAGAUUAUGCAAAAGUGUCUAGGAGUGAAAUGUGGGUACCUAGAGAAUGUAAAUAUAAUAAUGUUAAUAAUAAAUAUGUCAAUAAAUUGCCAUUGUAAAUUCUAUGUCCCAAAGAAGCACCCCUCACCAUUACAAAUUAUGAUAUUAAAUACAAUUUUGCAUGACUGGUAAUUGUGCUGACCUAUAUUUCCCAUGUUUUAGCAGAAUUUCAUUGGACAAUGUAUACAUGUUGGAUAUAAGAAAUCAGUAGUACUCAUCUUCAAAAAGUUGCUUAGUGGAUCUCAGGCUAGGGAUACAACAGAGCAUAUAAAGGAAUAGGUUCUGAUUCAGAGAGAAUCAAAGUUCAAGUUCACUCUGCCACUUAUUUGCUGUGUGAACUUGGACACAUUACUGAACCUACCUAAGCUUUGUUCUCCUAUUAAAUGUUCCCUAUGUAAUAAAAUCAGUGUGACAAUUAAAUAAAAACAUCUCAAAUCUGAAGCAUAGCUCCUGGCACAGAGCAGGUACUUACCUCCUAGUGGCUAUUAUUACUUACACUCUGUUAUAACACUGGGCCUAGUUUUCCUAUAGGAACACACAAC
rnacentral:lncRNA from 1 species